GUGGGGAAUAUUGCACAAUGGGGGAAACCCUGAUGCAGCGACGCCGCGUGAAGGAAGAAGUAUCUCGGUAUGUAAACUUCUAUCAGCAGGGAAGAUAAUGACGGUACCUGACUAAGAAGCCCCGGCUAACUACGUGCCAGCAGCCGCGGUAAUACGUAGGGGGCGAGCGUUAUCCGGAUUUACUGGGUGUAAAGGGAGCGUAGACGGCGUAUCAAGUCUGAUGUGAAAGGCAGGGGCUUAACCCCUGGACUGCAUUGGAAACUGGUAUGCUUGAGUGCCGGAGGGGUAAGCGGAAUUCCUAGUGUAGCGGUGAAAUGCGUAGAUAUUAGGAGGAACACCAGUGGCGAAGGCGGCUUACUGGACGGUAACUGACGUUGAGGCUCGAAAGCGUGGGGAGCAAACAGGAUUAGAUACCCUAGUAGUCC
rnacentral:rRNA from 1 species